rnacentral:rRNA from 1 species
UACGAAGGGGGCUAGCGUUGCUCGGAAUCACUGGGCGUAAAGCGCACGUAGGCGGAUUGUUAAGUCAGGGGUGAAAUCCCGGAGCUCAACUCCGGAACUGCCUUUGAUACUGGCGAUCUUGAGUCCGGGAGAGGUGAGUGGAACUGCGAGUGUAGAGGUGAAAUUCGUAGAUAUUCGCAAGAACACCAGUGGCGAAGGCAGCCCCCUGGGCUGACACUGACGCUCAGGCACGAAAGCGUGGGGAGCAAACAGG